UUUAUCCUACGGGAGGCAGCAGUGAGGAAUAUUGGUCAAUGGGCUUACGCCUGAACCAGCCAAGUCGCGUGAGGGAAGACUGCCCUAUGGGUUGUAAACCUCUUUUGUCAGGGAGCAAUUGGCGCUACGUGUAGCGUUAUCGAGAGUACCUGAAGAAAAAGCAUCGGCUAACUCCGUGCCAGCAGCCGCGGUAAUACGGAGGAUGCGAGCGUUAUCCGGAUUUAUUGGGUUUAAAGGGUGCGCAGGCGGAAUGUCAAGUCAGCGGUAAAAUUUCGGGGCUCAACCCCGUCGUGCCGUUGAAACUG
rnacentral:rRNA from 1 species